CCUACGGGCGGCAGCAGUGAGGAAUAUUGGUCAAUGGCCGGAAGUCUGAACCAGCCAAGUCGCGUGCAGGAAGAAGGCUCUAUGGGUUGUAAACUUCUUUUAUAGGGGAAUAAAGGUAUCCACGUGUGGAUAUUUGCAUGUACCCUAUGAAUAAGCAUCGGCUAACCCCGUGCCAGCAGCCGCGGUAAUACGGAGGAUGCGAGCGUUAUCCGGAUUUAUUGGGUUUAAAGGGUGCGUAGGUGGUGUUUUAAGUCAGCGGUGAAAGUUUGUGGCUCAACCAUGGAAUUGCCGUUGAAACUGGAAGGCUGGAGUGUGUGUGAGGUAGGCGGAAUGCGUGGUGUAGCGGUGAAAUGCAUAGAUAUCAGGCAGAACUCCGAUUGCGAAGGCAGCUUACGAAGCUAUAACUGACACUGAGGCACGAAAGCGUGGGGAUCAAACAGGAUUAGAUACCCCGGUAGUC
rnacentral:rRNA from 1 species